AGCUUAUGCAAUUUGUAAGCAUGAUGAUUGGAUUUGUACCCCACCAUGUGAGAUGUGCCCCCACUCCAGGCCUGGUAGAUGUUGGCAUAUAACCUGUCUGUUA
ensembl:snoRNA